AAAAAAAAAAAAAAAAAAAACAAUCGGAUAUUAUAUUGUUUACAUUAAAACAAAACUGUUUAAUGAAAAACAAAAAUGAAAGAAAUAUGUAUGUAAAGAAAAAAAAAAAAAAAAAAAAAAAAAAAAAAAAAAAAAAAAAAAAAAAAGCCAUGAGAGUAAAUAAUUAAAUAAACAUACGCAUGUGUUAUAGGAAAGAAAUGACAGAAUGAGUAAACAUAGAUAAAUGAUAAAAGGAGACCUAAAAGAAAGACGAUAUAAAUAAAAAAAAAAUAACCAGAAAAGGAAAAAGGGAAGAUUGAAACAUUAAAUAAAACGUACAAUAUAUAAAAAAAAAAAAAAAAAAAUGUCAAAAAUUGAAAGAUGAUGUUAAACAUUUUUUACAUAAGCAUAAUUUUAUUGUUAUGCACAAAGUGUUUUGUUAUUAAAAAUAACCAACAGUUAUUACAUAAGUAUAAAAUAAGUAGGAAUAAUAACAGAAAUAUUAGCAUUGAUAACAAUAGAAAUUAUAGUAAGUUAAGUAUAUUUAAAGUAAAGAAAAAAAAUGGUAAGUGUAAUACAAUACGAAUUUAUUUAUCAAAGUCAGAAGAUGAAUCAGACAACAGCAAAGAUGUAAAUAAGAAAAAUGUAUAUAAUUUGAAUAAAAAAAAAUAUAGUAUUCUUAUAAAAACAUUAGAAAAUAUAAAACAUGGGUUUUUUUCUAUUAAAACACGAUUAUUAAAAAUCUCUUUUGUAAUGCAACUUUUUAUUUCUAUAACAUUUUUUUUUUUACAUUUUAAUCUUUUGUCCAAGCAUUUUCUUAUUUUAUUUCCAUAUCAAUUAGUACCAAACCAUUCAAAUAUUCUUAUGAGUCUUGAUUUAAAUAGUACCAUUCUGUUUUUGUCAUCGCUUUUUUAUUUAAAAGACUUCAAAACGAAUAUGCAAUUGUUUAAGAACAAAUUGAGUUUAAAUAAAUUUACAUUUGAAUUAGAGAAAAAAAGGUAUAAAAACAUUUUGUCUAUAUCUGUUCUUUUAAUUGCAUCCUAUAUUUUAUCAGGAUACGUGUCAAUAUACACUGAAAAAUUUUUAACCAUUCUAAAGUCUUCCAACUUGUUUAUUUCGAGCAAUAUUAUAAAAUCUUUACAGAUACUAACAGGACACUUCGUAUGGGUUGCGUGUAGCAUAGUAAUUUUUAAUAAAAUGUUAUACCCAUAUUUUAAAAAUAAUAAAAGUAAUUUAAAUUUACGAUAUAAAGAUAAAUGGGCAUUUAAAGUUAUAUAUGGAUAUGUAUUUUCUCAUUUUAUAUUUAAUAUAGUGGAUAUUAUUAAUAAUUAUAUUAUAAAUUAUUUUACUUCUGAAGAUUAUUACUUAGAUAAUAGUAUAGAUGAUAUUGUAAGUGAAAAAGAAUUAAUACCAACAAUUUUAUGUAUCAUUAGUCCUUGUUUCAGUGCACCAUUUUUUGAAGAAUAUAUAUAUCGGUUUUUUGUUCUUAAAAGUUUAAAUUUAUUUAUGAAUAUUCAUUAUGCUAUCACAUUUUCAUCAUUAUUUUUCGCAGUUCAUCAUUUAAAUAUUUUUAAUUUAAUACCAUUGUUUUUUUUAUCGUUUUUUUGGUCUUAUAUAUAUAUAUAUACAGACAAUAUUCUUAUUACCAUGCUUAUCCAUUCCUUUUGGAAUAUAUACGUAUUUUUAACUUCUCUGUCUACUUAAUUUUUUAUAAUGGACGUUUUUUUAUUGUAUAAGUUUUAUCUUUUAAGAUUUAUCAUGUAUAUUUUAAAUAUACGAAAUGGAAAAAAAUGGGUUUAGUUAAGGUUUAGCUAGGGUUUAACUAAGGUUCAGCUAGGGUUUAGCUAGAGUUUAACUAAGGUUCAGCUAGGGUUUAACUAGGGUUUAACUAGGGUUCAGUUAGGG
ensembl:lncRNA